rnacentral:rRNA from 1 species
GUGAGGAAUAUUGGUCAAUGGACGAGAGUCUGAACCAGCCAAGUAGCGUGAAGGAUGACUGCCCUAUGGGUUGUAAACUUCUUUUAUACGGGAAUAAAGUUCAGUAUGCAUACUGUUUUGCAUGUACCGUAUGAAUAAGGAUCGGCUAACUCCGUGCCAGCAGCCGCGGUAAUACGGAGGAUCCGAGCGUUAUCCGGAUUUAUUGGGUUUAAAGGGAGCGUAGGUGGUUUAUUAAGUCAGCGGUGAAAGUUUGUGGCUCAACCAUAAAAUUGCAGUUGAUACUGGCUGUCUUGAGUACAGUAGAGGUGGGCGGAAUUCGUGGUGUAGCGGUGAAAUGCUUAGAUAUCACGAAGAACUCCGAUUGCGAAGGCAGCUCACUGGACUGCAACUGACACUGAUGCUCGAAAGUGUGGGUAUCAAACAGG